ensembl:snRNA U6 U6 spliceosomal RNA
UUGCUCCCUUUGGCAGCACACAUACUAAAAUUGGAAUGAUACAGAGAUUAGCAUGGCCCUUGCACAAGGAUGGCAUGCAAAUUUGCAAAGUGUUCCAAACUUUA